rnacentral:misc_RNA from 1 species
GAUGAAGAACGUAGCGAAAUGCGAUAAGUAAUGUGAAUUGCAGAAUUCCGUGAAUCAUCGAAUUUUUGAACGCAUAUUGCGCCCCCUGGUAUUCCGGGGGGCAUGCCUGUCCGAGCGUCAUUGCUGCCCUCAAGCACGGCUUGUGUGUUGGGCCUCCGUCCUCCUCCCGGGGGACGGGCCCGAAAGGCAGCGGCGGCACCGCGUCCGGUCCUCGAGCGUAUGGGGCUUCGUCACCCGCUCUUGUAGGCCCGGCCGGCGCUUGCCGACACAUCAAUCUUUUUUCCAGGUUGACCUCGGAUCAGGUAGGGAUACCCGCUGAACUUAAGCAUAUCAAUAAGCGGAGGA